AGUUUACUGGUCACCUGCACUAACAGCCUGAGAGAAAAGGACACUGCAUAUCACAGAGAGAUGCAUAGAUGUUACACUCAGAAAGAGAGUGAACAACUAGAAGAUGUGGAAGAAAAUUCCAAGGGCCAAUUUUGAAACAAACCAGGCAGAGACCCAGAUGCAGAAUCCUGCAGGCUGAGGGAUGUUAGGAAGAGUUAGCCCACCACUGCUGCGCUGAAACCAGGAUGACGCAAACUGGGCCUCAGGCCAGGCUUAGAAUAUAAACUGACACCUUGAAGAAGUGACCAUCUUGUAAUCAACACUUUAUUCUAAGGAUAACAGAGAUAAAUGAUAUAAGGAUCUCUGUUUCUUAAUGGCAUUGUUGAGCCCUAAACUUUCUACUGCUAGAUAUUUUAUCGCAUGAAAUAAAUAAGCCUUAGUUGCUUAAAAUA
rnacentral:lncRNA from 1 species